rnacentral:lncRNA from 1 species
UUUCAAGCUUCCUUGUGCCAGGCGCUGCUGCGUAGCUGGGCCUGCCCAUGGGGUUCCUGCAAGGUUCCUCUAGGGCACCCCGGAGGAAAGGCGGGGCCUGUUUUGGUUUUCAGUAUAAUCAAAGCACAUGGCCAUGCUCAGAGCUUCUCUCUUUUUUCUCUCUGCUCCUGAAUCCAACAGACAUCCUGAGAGAAGGUGCCAACCUUCAGGAGUACCCCACGGCAUCCAUCUACACCUACGGGCACCCUGCUGCGCCGCAGACGCCCCGUUCCUUCAACACGCUGCCGCUGUGGCCCCCGCCAUACCCUGGUCCGCCAGACCUCCCGCCCCCCUAUUCGGAAGUGGAGGACUUGGCUCCGAGAGGAGACAGGGGCUCAGGCAAGUGCAGGGGGCCCUCGUGAGCUCUGGUGCCCCGGGCAGCCGCCUGUCCCUAGCGCUUGAAUAAGACGCCCCGGUGCCAACCAGACCUGAGGUGGGUUCCGCGGGCAGUCGCCACCUAGCAGCAUU